AUUGAACGCUGGCGGCAAGCCUAACACAUGCAAGUCGAGCGAGCGGCGGACGGGUGAGUAAUGUCUGGGAAACUGCCUGAUGGAGGGGGAUAACUACUGGAAACGGUAGCUAAUACCGCAUACCAUCAGAUGUGCCCAGAUGGGAUUAGCUGGUUGGUGGGGUAACGGCUCACCUAGGCGCCGAUCCCUAGCUGGUCUGAGAGGAUGACCAGCCACACUGGAACUUAGACACGGUCCAGACUCCUACGGGAGGCAGCAGUGGGGAAUAGUGCACAAUGGGCGCAAGCCUGAUGCAGCCAUGCCGCGUGUGUGAAGAAGGCCUGCGGGUUGUAAAGCACUUUCAGCGGGGAGGCGUUACCCGCAGAAGAAGCACCGGCUAACUCCGUGCCAGCCGCCGCGGUAAUUC
rnacentral:rRNA from 1 species